GACGAACGCUGGCGGCGUGCUUAACACAUGCAAGUCGAACGGAAAGGCCCUGCUUGCCGGGUACUCGAGUGGCGAACGGGUGAGUAACACGUGGGUGAUCUGCCCUGCACUUCGGGAUAAGCCUGGGAAACUGGGUCUAAUACCGGAUAGGAGCCAUUUUUAGUGUGAUGGUUGGAAAGUUUUUUCGGUGUAGGAUGAGCUCGCGGCCUAUCAGCUUGUUGGUGGGGUAAUGGCCUACCAAGGCGGCGACGGGUAGCCGGCCUGGGAGGGUGGACGGCCACAUUGGGGCUUAGGUAAGGCCCCAGCCCCUACGGGAGGCAGCAGGGGGGAAUAUUGCACAAUGGGCGCAAGCCUGAUGCAGCGACGCCGCGUGGGGGAUGACGGCCUUCGGGUUGUAAACUCCUUUCGCUAGGGACGAAGCUUUUUGUGACGGUACCUAGAGAAGAAGCACCGGCUAACUACGUG
rnacentral:rRNA from 1 species